UACGUAGGGGGCGAGCGUUGUCCGGAAUCAUUGGGCGUAAAGCGCGUGUAGGCGGCCCGGUAAGUCCGCUGUGAAAGUCCAGGGCUCAACCCUGGGAUGCCGGUGGAUACUGUCGGGCUCGAGUCCGGAAGAGGCGAGUGGAAUUCCUGGUGUAGCGGUGAAAUGCGCAGAUAUCAGGAGGAACACCAAUAGCGAAGGCAGCUCGCUGGGACGGUACUGACGCUGAGGCGCGAAAGCGUGGGGAGCGAACAGG
rnacentral:rRNA from 1 species